UACGGAGGGUGCAAGCGUUAUCCGGAUUCACUGGGUUUAAAGGGUGCGUAGGCGGGCAGGUAAGUCAGGGGUGAAAUCUCCGAGCUUAACUCGGAAACUGCCGUUGAUACUAUUUGUCUUGAAUACUGUGGAGGUAAGCGGAAUAUGUCAUGUAGCGGUGAAAUGCUUAGAUAUGACAUAGAACACCAAUUGCGAAGGCAGCUUACUACGCAGUUAUUGACGCUGAGGCACGAAAGCGUGGGGAUCAAACAGG
rnacentral:rRNA from 1 species